UACAGAGGGUGCGAGCGUUAAUCGGAAUUACUGGGCGUAAAGCGCACGUAGUCGGCUUUGCAAGUCGGUUGUGAAAUCCCCGGGCUCAACCUGGGAACUGCAUCCGAGACUGCAUUGCUAGAGUAUGGGAGAGGAAAGCGGAAUUUCUGGUGUAGCAGUGAAAUGCGUAGAUAUCAGAAGGAACAUCAGUGGCGAAGGCGGAUUUCUGGACCAAUACUGACGAUCAGGUGCGAAAGCGUGGGGAGCAAACAGG
rnacentral:rRNA from 1 species